AAAGUCGUAACAAGGUCUCCGUAGGUGAACCUGCGGAGGGAUCAUUAACAAAUGCGACCGUUGCUGUCAAGUGAAAAAGCGUUGCUGCGAAAGCAGGAGCCUUUUUCCACUUGACGCAGCAGCUAACACAUGUUGCCACAUGUUGAGAAUUCUUGGUGACGACACCUUGAGAAAUCGUGGUCUCGACACCUUGAGCUCACACCACAUGUGGCACACAUAUCCUACAUUUACAUUUCAACACACAACAUUCAAGAAAAUUCAGAACAACUUUUAACAAUGGAUCUCUUGGCUCUU
rnacentral:misc_RNA from 1 species